UGGGGAAUUUUGGACAAUGGGCGAAAGCCUGAUCCAGCAAUGCCGCGUGUGUGAAGAAGGCCUUCGGGUUGUAAAGCACUUUUGUCCGGAAAGAAAUCCUUGGCUCUAAUACAGUCGGGGGAUGACGGUACCGGAAGAAUAAGCACCGGCUAACUACGUGCCAGCAGCCGCGGUAAUACGUAGGGUGCAAGCGUUAAUCGGAAUUACUGGGCGUAAAGCGUGCGCAGGCGGUUUGCUAAGACCGAUGUGAAAUCCCCGGGCUCAACCUGGGAACUGCAUUGGUGACUGGCAGGCUAGAGUAUGGCAGAGGGGGGUAGAAUUCCACGUGUAGCAGUGAAAUGCGUAGAGAUGUGGAGGAAUACCGAUGGCGAAGGCGGCCCCCUGGGCCAAUACUGACGCUCAUGCACGAAAGCGUGGGGAGCAAACAGGAUUAGAUACCCUGGUAGUCCACGCCCUAAAACGAUGUCAACUAGUUGUUGGGGGAUUCAUUUCCUUAGUAACGUAGCUAACGCGUGAAGUUGACCGCCUGGGGAGUACGUCGCAAGAUUAAAACUUAAAGGAAUUGACGGGGUCAUAGCUGUUUCCU
rnacentral:rRNA from 1 species